rnacentral:rRNA from 1 species
GAUCAGGCCUAACCCCAUGCAAGUCGAGCGGAAACGAUCCUAGCUUGCUAGGAGGCGUCGAGCGGCGGACGGGUGAGUAACACGUGAGAAUCUGCCCAUUAGAGGGGGAUAACCUGGGGAAACCCACAGGGCUAAUACCGCAUAAUCCCUACGGGGGAAAGCAGGGGAUCUUCGGACCUUGUGCUGAUGGAUGAGCUCGGCGUCGGAUUAGCUUGUUGGUGAGGUAAUGGCUCACCAAGGCGACGAUCCGUAGCUGGUCUUAGAGGAUGAUCAGCCACACCGGGACUGAGGACACGGCCCGGACUCCUACGGGAGGCAGCAGUGGGGAAUCUUGGAUCAAUGGGGGCAACCCUGAUCCAGCCAUGCCGCGUGUGUGAAGAAGGCCUUUCGGGUUGUAAAGCACUUUCAGUAGGGAGGAAGGCUUAUCCUUAAUACGGAUGAGUACUUGACGUUACCUACAGAAGAAGCACCGGCUAAUUUCGUGCCAGCAGCCGCGGUAAUACGAAAGGUGCGAGCGUUAAUCGGAAUUACUGGGCGUAAAGCGCGCGUAGGCGGUUUGCUAAGUCAGAUGUGAAAGCCCCGGGCUCAACCUGGGAACUGCAUUCGAAACUGGCAGGCUAGAAUGCAGUAGAGGGAGGUGGAAUUUCCGGUGUAGCGGUGAAAUGCGUAGAGAUCGGAAGGAACACCAGUGGCGAAGGCGGCCUCCUGGACUGACAUUGACGCUGAGGUGCGAAAGCGUGGGGAGCAAACAGGAUUAGAUACCCUGGUAGUCCACGCCGUAAACGAUGUCUACUAGUCGUUGGGAAUCUUAGUAUUCUUGGUGACGAAGUUAACGCGAUAAAUAGACCGCCUGGGGAGUACUGUCGCAAGGUUAAAACUCAAAUGAAUUGACGGGGGCCCGCACAAGCCGGUGGAGCAUGUGGUUUAAUUUCGAUGCAACUCGAAGAACCUUACCAGGCCCUUGACAUCCUUGGAACUUUCUAGAGAUAGAUUGGUGGCUAU